GGUUUCGCGGUGUAGUUGGUUAUUACGUCAGUCUAAUACACUGGUGGUCUCCGGUUCGAGCCCGGCCGAACUCA